UACGGAGGGGGCUAGCGUUGUUCGGAAUUACUGGGCGUAAAGCGCACGUAGGCGGCUUUGUAAGUUAGAGGUGAAAGCCCGGGGCUCAACUCCGGAAUUGCCUUUAAGACUGCAUCGCUAGAAUUGUGGAGAGGUAAGUGGAAUUCCGAGUGUAGAGGUGAAAUGCGUAGAUAUCGGGAGGAACACCUGUGGCGAAAGCGGCGCACUGGACCAUAACUGACGCUGAGGGUGACGAAAGGCGUGGGGAGCAAACAGG
rnacentral:rRNA from 1 species